rnacentral:rRNA from 1 species
GAUUUCUGGUUUGACAUGCCUGGCCCGCCGGGGUCACCUGUGUGAGUGCCGGUGCGCGUCUACCAUCCUUCUGUAGAACGGCCUUACCCUUCACUGGGCCGAGGUCGCGAUACAGAUCUUUUACUUUGAAAAAAUUAGAGUGUUUAAAGCAGGCUUACGCUGUGAAUACAUUAGCAUGGAAUAAUAAUUUAGGACUUUGGUCUCUAUUUUGUUGGUUUCUAGAGCUGAAGUAAUGAUUGAUAGGGAUAGUUGGGGGUGCUAGUAUUCAUCGGCCAGAGGUGAAAUUCUUGGAUUCGAUGAAGACUAACUUAUGCGAAAGCAUU